CCUGGCUCAGGAUGAACGCUAGCGACAGGCUUAACACAUGCAAGUCGAGGGGCAGCACAGGUAGCAAUACCGGGUGGCGACCGGCGCACGGGUGAGUAACGCGUAUGCAACUUGCCUAUCAGAGGGGGAUAACCCGGCGAAAGUCGGACUAAUACCGCAUGAAGCAGGGAUCCCGCAUGGGAAUAUUUGCUAAAGAUUCAUCGCUGAUAGAUAGGCAUGCGUUCCAUUAGGCAGUUGGCGGGGUAACGGCCCACCAAACCGACGAUGGAUAGGGGUUCUGAGAGGAAGGUCCCCCACAUUGGUACUGAGACACGGACCAAACUCCUACGGGAGGCAGCAGUGAGGAAUAUUGGUCAAUGGCCGAGAGGCUGAACCAGCCAAGUCGCGUGAGGGAUGAAGGUUCUAUGGAUCGUAAACCUCUUUUAUAAGGGAAUAAAGUGCGGGACGUGUCCCGUUUUGUAUGUACCUUAUGAAUAAGGAUCGGCUAACUCCGUGCCAGCAGCCGCGGUAAUACGGAGGAUCCGAGCGUUAUCCGGAUUUAUUGGGUUUAAAGGGUGCGUAGGCGGCCUUUUAAGUCAGCGGUGAAAGUCUGUGGCUCAACCAUAGAAUUGCCGUUGAAACUGGGGGGCUUGAGUAUGUUUGAGGCAGGCGGAAUGCGUGGUGUAGCGGUGAAAUGCAUAGAUAUCACGCAGAACCCCGAUUGCGAAGGCAGCCUGCCAAGCCAUUACUGACGCUGAUGCACGAAAGCGUGGGGAUCAAACAGGAUUAGAUACCCUGGUAGUCCACGCAGUAAACGAUGAUCACUAGCUGUUUGCGAUACACUGUAAGCGGCAUAGCGAAAGCGUUAAGUGAUCCACCUGGGGAGUACGCCGGCAACGGUGAAACUCAAAGGAAUUGACGGGGGCCCGCACAAGCGGAGGAACAUGUGGUUUAAUUCGAUGAUACGCGAGGAACCUUACCCGGGUUUGAACGCAUUCGGACCGAGGUGGAAACACCUUUUCUAGCAAUAGCCGUUUGCGAGGUGCUGCAUGGUUGUCGUCAGCUCGUGCCGUGAGGUGUCGGCUUAAGUGCCAUAACGAGCGCAACCCUUGCCACUAGUUACUAACAGGUAAAGCUGAGGACUCUGGUGGGACUGCCAGCGUAAGCUGCGAGGAAGGCGGGGAUGACGUCAAAUCAGCACGGCCCUUACAUCCGGGGCGACACACGUGUUACAAUGGCGUGGACAAAGGGAGGCCACCUGGCGACAGGGAGCGAAUCCCCAAACCACGUCUCAGUUCGGAUCGGAGUCUGCAACCCGACUCCGUGAAGCUGGAUUCGCUAGUAAUCGCGCAUCAGCCAUGGCGCGGUGAAACGUUCCCGGGCCUUGUACACAC
rnacentral:rRNA from 1 species